CAGCAGCCGCGGGAAUACGUAGGUCCCGAGCGUUGUCCGGACUUAUUGGGCGUAAAGGGAGCGCAGGCGGUUUAGUAAGUCUGAAGUUAAAGGCAUUGGCUCAACCAGUGUAUGCUUUGGAAACUGUUAGACUUGAGUGCAGAAGGGGAGAGUGGAAUUCCAUGUGUAGCGGUGAAAUGCGUAGAUAUAUGGAGGAACACCGGUGGCGAAAGCGGCUCUCUGGUCUGUCACUGACGCUGAGGCUCGAAAGCGUGGGUAGCGAACAGGAUUAGAGACCCCGGUAGUCCCUGUCUCUUAUACA
rnacentral:rRNA from 1 species